rnacentral:RNase_P_RNA from 1 species
CCAGGGGGCCGGGCAGCCGCGUCAGAAAUCAAUUUCUGCCGAGGAAAGUCCGGGCUCCACGACAUAAGGGUGGCGGGUAACGCCCGCCCGGCGAGUGUGGCUUUCGGGCCUCGCGAAGCCGAGGGAAAGUGCCACAGAGAGUAUACCGCCGAUGGCCCCUAAAGGGCACAGGCAAGGGUGAAAGGGUGCGGCAAGAGCGCACCGGGGUUCUGGCAACAGCGCCCGCAUGGCAAACCCCACUCGGAGCAAGGCCAAAUAGGGGUCUCGUGCCCGUGCAAACGGGUAGUGGCAUGUCGCCGCGAGAGAUCCGGGUUGGCUGCUUGAGCGCGUGCAGCAAUGCACCGCCUAGACGAAUGGCUGCCUCUAUGGGGCUGGUCCGGCAACGGAAACCGCUCACAGGACAGAACCCGGCUUACAGGCCCCCUGGUAUU